UAUUGCACAAUGGGGGAAACCCUGAUGCAGCAACGCCGCGUGGGUGAAGAAGUAUUUCGGUAUGUAAAGCUCUGUCAGCAGGGAAGAAAGAAAUGACGGUACCUGACCAAGAAGCCCCGGCUAACUACGUGCCAGCAGCCGCGGUAAUACGUAGGGGGCAAGCGUUAUCCGGAUUUACUGGGUGUAAAGGGAGAGUAGACGGUUGUGCAAGUCUGAAGUGAAAGCCCGCGGCUCAACUGCGGAACGGCUUUGGAAACUGUGUAACUGGAGUGCUGGAGAGGUAAGCGGAAUUCCUGGUGUAGCGGUGAAAUGCGUAGAGAUCAGGAGGAACACCGGCGGCGAAGGCGGCUUACUGGACAGUAACUGACGUUGAGGCUCGAAAGCGUGGGGAGCAAACAGG
rnacentral:rRNA from 1 species